rnacentral:rRNA from 1 species
UACAGAGGUCUCAAGCGUUGUCCGGAAUCAUUGGGCGUAAAGCGCGCGUAGGCGGUCAGGUAAGUCCGGUGUGAAAGUCAAAGGCUCAACCUUUGAAUGCCGCUGGAAACUGCCUGACUUGAGUCCGGUAGGGGCGAGUGGAAUUCCUGGUGUAGCGGUGAAAUGCGCAGAUAUCAGGAGGAACACCAAUGGCGAAGGCAGCUCGCUGGGACGGAACUGACGCUAAGGCGCGAAAGCGUGGGGAGCGAACAGG